UACGUAGGAGACGAGCGUUGUCCGGAAUCACUGGGCGUAAAGAGCUCGUAGGCGGUUUGUCGCGUCGACUGUGAAAACUGGGGGCUUAACUCUCAGCUUGCAGUUGAUACGGGCAGACUUGAGUUCGGUAGGGGAGACUGGAAUUCCUGGUGUAGCGGUGAAAUGCGCAGAUAUCAGGAGGAACACCGGUGGCGAAGGCGGGUCUCUGGGCCGAUACUGACGUGAGGAGCGAAAGCCAGGGGAGCAAACGGG
rnacentral:rRNA from 1 species